AGGACGAACGCUGGCGGCGUGCUUAACACAUGCAAGUCGAACGAUGAAGCCUUUCGGGGUGGAUUAGUGGCGAACGGGUGAGUAACACGUGGGCAACCUGCCCUCCACUCUGGGAUAACUUCGGGAAACCGGGGCUAAAUACUGGAUAUGACCUGGGAUCGCAUGGUCCUGGGUGGAAAGUUUUUCGGUGGAGGAUGGGCCCGCGGCCUAUCAGCUUGUUGGUGGGUGAUGGCCUACCAAGGCGGUGACGGGUA
rnacentral:rRNA from 1 species